rnacentral:rRNA from 1 species
CCUACGGGAGGCAGCAGUGAGGAAUAUUGGUCAAUGGACGCAAGUCUGAACCAGCCAAGUAGCGUGAAGGAUGACUGCCCUACGGGUUGUAAACUUCUUUUAUAUGGGAAUAAAGUGUUCCACGUGUGGGUUUUUGUAUGUACUAUAUGAAUAAGGAUCGGCUAACUCCGUGCCAGCAGCCGCGGUAAUACGGAGGAUCCGAGCGUUAUCCGGAUUUAUUGGGUUUAAAGGGAGCGUAGAUGGGUUGUUAAGUCAGUUGUGAAAGUUUGCGGCUCAACCGUAAAAUUGCAGUUGAUACUGGCAGUCUUGAGUACAGUAGAGGUAGGCGGAAUUCGUGGUGUAGCGGUGAAAUGCUUAGAUAGCACGAAGAACUCCGAUUGCGAAGGCAGCUCACUGAACUGCAACUGACACUGAGGCUCGAAAGUGUGGGUAUCAAACAGGAUUAGAUACCCGUGUAGUC